UUGAGCGGAGAUAUAUGGAGCUUGCUUUAUAUAACUUAGCAGCGAACGGGUGAGUAACACGUAGAUAAUCUAUCCUAUACUGAGGGAUAGCCCGAUGAAAGUUGGAUUAAUACCGCAUAUAGCUAUAUAGUUGCAUGAUUAUGUAGUGAAAGAUUUAUUGGUAUAGGAGGAGUCUGCGGCACAUUAGCUAGUAGGUGAGGUAAAGGCUUACCUAGGCGACGAUGUGUAGCCGGUCUGAGAGGAUGAACGGCCACAAUGGAACUGAGACACGGUCCAUACUCCUACGGGAGGCAGCAGUGGGGAAUAUUGCACAAUGGGGGAAACCCUGAUGCAGCAACGCCGCGUGAGUGAAGAAGGUUUUCGGAUUGUAAAGCUCUGUUAGCAGGGAAGAGGAAGGACGGUACCUGCAGAGGAAGCCACGGCUAACUACGUGCCAGCAGCCGCGGUAAUACGUAGGUGGCAAGCGUUGUUCGGAAUAACUGGGCGUAAAGGAUGCGUAGGCGGUUAAACAAGUUAUAUGUUAAAUAUAUAGGCUUAACCUGUAGAAAGCAUAUAAAACUGUUUAACUAGAGUGCAGGAGAGGUAAGUGGAAUUCCUAGUGCAGCGGUGAAAUGCGUAGAGAUUAGGAAGAACACCAGUGGCGAAGGCGACUUACUGGACUGUAACUGACGCUGAGGCAUGAGAGCAUGGGGAGCAAACAGGAUUAGAUACCCUGGUAGUCCAUGCUGUAAACGAUGGGUACUAGGUGUGGGUUGUGAAUAACAAUUCGUGCCGUCGCAAACGCAAUAAGUACCCCGCCUGAGGAGUACGAUCGCA
rnacentral:rRNA from 1 species